rnacentral:rRNA from 1 species
GCCGCCUGUUUAUCAAAAACAUAACUGUAAGAAAAAUUAGUUACAGCUUUUUCUGCUCAAUGAGAAUUAAAUAGCCGCAGUACUUUGACUGUGCAAAGGUAGCAUAAUCAUUUGGCUUAUAAUUGAAGUCUUGUAUGAACGAAUAUAUGGGGAAUAGCUGUUUCUUAUAUUACUCAAGAAGUUACUGUAAAAGUGCAAACCCUUUUAGAUUUAAUUAAGACGAGAAGACCCUAGAAAUUUAAGGUGCAUUAUUUUGUUGGGGCGACAAGGUAACAAUUUAACUUACCUUAUUAUAUGUAAAGAGUGUUUAGUUGAAAGAAAUUACUCUAGGGAUAACAGCAUAAUUUAAUAUAAGUUUGUGACCUCGAUGUUGGACUAGGAAAGUUAGCUGUUUAGAAAAUGGCUAUCUUGUUC